CUAUUCUAGUCUAAAUAUAGACUUUCAAAAUUCCCAUUCAGACACAUGUAACUGCUUACAAACACUGAAAAGAGUUAGAAGAGAUAUUCUAGACCUAAAGAAGACUUUAAGAAAAGACGAACCUUAGCAGUUGCAUAAGAAAUUGUCUGCUUUAAGAACUAUUUUAAAAGACAAAAGAAGUUCAGGAAUUCAUCAUUAAUAUCAUACAAAUGGCUUCCUCAAAAAUUGUCCUUAUGAUGGCCUGUGUUGUAGUUUUGGCUCUCUUCGAGAAUGGGGAAUGCCAAAGGCGGAAGUUAUGCAGAAUGUACAAAGCUAAAGGCACAUGUGGAGAAAUUAUGCGAAGAGACAGGGGGACAAAUGUUCCGGCAGCCGGGAGAUGUGCCCAGAAAGGUGGCACGUGUGAAUCUCUCCAGACACGUCGGGGAACAAGAUGUGUUUGUGCAAUCAUGUAUGAUGUCUAGAUGUAAGAAACCAAUAAUGAUGCGGUCAAUUCAAAACGGAAAUUGGAAGAACAGAUUGUCUCACAGAACACGAAAACAACAGAUCCUUUAAAACUGUGGCUGUGCGUCUUUUAAAAACAAAUAGCUGAUAUGUCAUUCAACAUGGUUAGUGAAUGUUCAGUCUUGAUUUGUUAUAACUUUUAUUGUUGGCAUAAAAUUGGCAUAAACUAACAUUACUUUAUCAAGAAGAAUCAUUCAAAUUUGUAUAAGAUGAGUUUGAAACGUCCGUUAGAUGUUUGAUAAGGUUUGAUGCUUUUGUAAAUAAUUUUGCAAGUUCUAGACCUCACUAGCUCAGUGUCGUAUAAUGUCUUAAUGCGUAUUUAUUUCAAUGCGUAUUUAUUUCCGUUCUGUUGUUUGUGUUGAUGUUUAUGUUCAUAUUUUUGUAAGUUCCAGUCAACGUUAUGCUCAAAGUCGUUUAAUGCGUAUUUAUUUCCAUUCUGCUGUUUGUGUUGAUGUUUAUGUCCAUAUUUUUGUAAGCUCCAGCCAAUGCUAUGCUCAAAGUCGUUUAAUGCGUAUUUAUUUCCGUUCUAUUGUUUGUGUUGAUGUUUAUGAUCAUAUUUUUGUAAGUUCCAGCCAACGAUAUGCUCAAAGUCGUUUAAUGUGUAUUUAUUUCCAUUCUGUUAUUUAUUGUUUUAUCUAUUAAAGGGAUUUUCCCAAAUGAGUUUGUAUAUUUUUACUCUGUUAGUGUUAUUGCCAACAUAUGAUGAAUAUUAGUUCCUGCUGUUAGUGACUAAUUGUAUUUCAAGUGUUUACGUGUAUUGAGAAGUGUCGUUUAUAUAAUGUCCAUGUUGGUUGAUACUUUAAUUGAUAUAUUACAGGGUAAUAUCUUGCUUAAACAUAUGUUAUUAAACAUCAUAAAUUUUGAAAUAAAAAUUAAAUGUA